CCAUGGGACCAGGCUGGGUGCUGGAGCUCUUCUUAUUUCUCACUUUGGCUGCUCCAAGCCAGGCCUGGAGGAGGCCUCGGGAUUGGCUGCCAGGGUGGAGAUUCCCUUUGGAAAGGCACAUCCUGCCCUAAAUAUUCUAUAUCAGAGCCAGGGGCAGUGUGGGACUGUUAUCAUGCUCUUGCAAAAGUUCUGUACUGCUGUCUCCUUAUCACAAAAGUUUCAUACCAUCUUGGUGUCUUCUCAUGGGCUGCUCCUCAGAGCACCAACUCUCUCUUCCUCAGAAAGCAGCCAACUGACUCUUUUAUAGCACUCUUAUUACUGGUUACAGCUGUGGCCUGUUAAAGCCAGGCCUCCUCCGAAACUUUGAUAAUUGGCCCAGCUGCAGCUCUUUAGGGCAUAGAAACAACCUCAGAGCCUCCCAGUCCAGGCCAGAACUGAGGAAUUGCACAGGUGGAGAAAUCCAGGCAGGGAUGGAGGAGCAGAACCCUGCAGGUGGCCAGCAGGAGAGGGUGAAAAGUUGAACUGGGAAUCCAGCUUGGAACACUCACCUGGAACAUCAAAGGGAGCCAGAAAUAGGCAGAAAUUAUGGAGCAUUUUGUAAAGUCUUGGAGCUUUCUGGAGGCUGGAGGGCAGCAGAGCUGUGUUUACUACAACUCCUGGGUUUGUUUAGAAUGAAAUAAAAACCAACAGCAAACAACUCAGAGUUUGGCUGCUGCUCCCUUCCCAGCCUUUUCAUUCUGCCUCAUCUGUGGGACUCAGGCACCCUCCAGAUCCCUUUGGAGAAGAAUUUCUGGUCCAGAGCUACAAAAAUAAAGAAAAAUCCAGUAUUUAACUCAUGACAUUGUUAAGGCGGAAAAAACCUUUAAGAUCCUCAUGUCCAGCCAUGGUCACCGCUAAACCACACUCUAAAGUGCCCAAUCCACAGAUUUUUUGAGCAAU